rnacentral:tRNA from 1 species
GCCUGGGUGGCUCAGUUGGUUGGGUAUCUGACUCUUGAUUUCUGUUCAGGUUGUGAUUUCAGGGUUGUGGGAUCAAGCCCCACAUCAGGCU